GUCUGCAACUCGACUGCAUGAAGCUGGAAUCGCUAGUAAUCGCGGAUCAGAAUGCCGCGGUGAAUACGUUCCCGGGUCUUGUACACACCGCCCGUCACACCAUGGGAGUCAGUAACGCCCGAAGUCAGUGACCGAACCGAGAGGACGGAGCUGCCGAAGGCGGGACGGAUAACUGGGGUGAAGUCGUAACAAGGUAAC
rnacentral:rRNA from 1 species